CGGGUGAGUAACACGUGAGUAACCUGCCCCCUUCUUCUGGAUAACCGCAUGAAAGUGUGGCUAAUACGGGAUAUUCUGCGCCUGCUGCAUGGUGGGUGUGGGAAAGAUAUUGUUUCGGUGGGGGAUGGGCUCGCGGCCUAUCAGCUUGUUGGUGGGGUGAUGGCCUACCAAGGCGGUGACGGGUAGCCGGCCUGAGAGGGUGGACGGUCACACUGGGACUGAGACACGGCCCAG
rnacentral:rRNA from 1 species